AUCACCCAGGGAUCUUGUUAAAAUGUAGACUAUGAUUUAGUAGGUGAGGGGUCUGGCCUAAGAAUCUGCAUUUCUAAUAAGGUCCCAGAUGAUGCUUA
rnacentral:pre_miRNA from 1 species